UGGGGAAUCUUGCGCAAUGGGCGAAAGCCUGACGCAGCCAUGCCGCGUGAAUGAUGAAGGUCUUAGGAUUGUAAAAUUCUUUCAGCAGGGACGAUAAUGACGGUACCUGCAGAAGAAGCCCCGGCUAACUUCGUGCCAGCAGCCGCGGUAAUACGAAGGGGGCUAGCGUUGCUCGGAAUUACUGGGCGUAAAGGGAGCGUAGGCGGGUUAUCAAGUUGGAGGUGAAAGCCCAGGGCUCAACCUUGGAAUUGCCUUCAAAACUGAUAGCCUAGAGUAUGAUAGAGGUAAGUGGAACUCCGAGUGUAGAGGUGAAAUUCGUAGAUAUUCGGAAGAACACCAGUGGCGAAGGCGACUUACUGGAUCAUGACUGACGCUGAGGCUCGAAAGCGUGGGGAGCAAACA
rnacentral:rRNA from 1 species